rnacentral:rRNA from 1 species
GUCUCUUUGAAGNUAAAAACAAGUCGAACCUGCCCACUGAAGUCGUAUUAAAGGGCCGCGGUAUUCUGACCGUGCAAAGGUAGCGUAAUAGUUAGUUUCUUAAUUGGAAUCUUGUAUGAAUGGUUGGACGAAAAGAAACCUGUCUCUUUAGUUAAAAUAGAAUUUAACUUUUAAGUGAAAAGGCUUAAAUUUUUUAAUAAGACGAUAAGACCCUAUAAAGUUUUAUAUAAGAAUUGAGCAAACUUAGUUAUAGGUUUAUAAAGGUUUGUUGAAGCGAUUAUAUUGGGUUGGGGCAACAAGAUUAAAAUUUAUAAUAACUACUCUUAUUUAAAACAAAAAUCUAUGAAUAUAAAUAAUUUAAUGAUCCUUUAUAAAGAUCAAGAGAUAAAGUUACUUUAGGGAUAACAGCGUUAUUUUUUUUAAGAGUCCUUAUCGAAAAAAAAGAUUGCGACCUCGAUGUUGAAUUAAAAGCUCUAUGUAAUUGCAGCAGUUACACAAGAAGGUCUGUUCGACCUUUAAAUUUUU